rnacentral:rRNA from 1 species
AUUGAACGCUGGCGGCAGGCCUAACACAUGCAAGUCGAGCGGCAGAAGGGAGCUUGCUCCUGGAUUCAGCGGCGGACGGGUGAGUAAUGCCUAGGAAUCUGCCUGGCAGCGGGGGAUAACGUCCGGACACGGGCGCUAAUACCGCAUACGUCCUGAGGGCGAACGUGGGGGAUCUUCGGACCUCACGCUAUCAGAUGAGCCUAGGUCGGAUUAGCUAGUUGGUGGGGUAAAGGCCUACCAAGGCGACGAUCCGUAACUGGUCUGAGAGGAUGAUCAGUCACACUGGAACUGAGACACGGUCCAGACUCCUACGGGAGGCAGCAGUGGGGAAUAUUGGACAAUGGGCGAAAGCCUGAUCCAGCCAUGCCGCGUGUGUGAAGAAGGUCUUCGGAUUGUAAAGCACUUUAAGUUGGGAGGAAGGGCAGUAAGUUAAUACCUUGCUGUUUUGACGUUACCAACAGAAUAAGCACCGGCUAACUUCGUG